rnacentral:miRNA from 1 species
GAGCCCCGGCUCAUUUAAGCGGGGAGCGCAGCGCCGCGUGCCGGCCGCGCGGUCACUGCGCAUGCGCGGUCCCGCCCACCCGCAUGCCCCUCCCGCCCCUCGCCUCCCGGGCCUCGC